AAACGAGGCACUGAUGCAAGCACUUGAGGAAGAGGAAGCUCAAAUGGAAGACAAAACAAAAAAGAUUGAGGAAAUGGAGAGACUCCUGCUUCAAAAAAAUAAAGAUAUGGAGAACCUUGAAGUUUCCCGUGGAAAGACCAUGAAGAAGCUUUCUGUUACAGUAAGCAAAUUUGAUGAACUUCAUCAACUAUCUGAAAGCCUUCUGUCCGAGGUUGAGAAUCUUCAGUCACAAUUACAAGAGCGAGAUACAGAGAUUUCUUUCUUGAGGCAAGAAGUUACAAGAUGCACUAAUGAUGCAAUAGCUUCUGCUCAGAUGAGUAGCAAAAGAGAUGGUGAUGAAAUCCAUGACAUUUUGACAUGGAUAGACAAGAUGAUUUCUCGAGUCCAGGCUCAUGAUAUGGAUUAUGAUGAUGGAAAAGUCAACCAGAUUCAUGAUUAUAAAGAAAUGAUAGAGAAACAGGUGGUGGCUGUAAUAUCUGAGUUGGAGGACCUGCGUGCACUGGCACAGAAAAGAUAUUUGAUGUUGAAAGUAGAGAAAGAUAAAGUAGAACAACUGGUGAGAAAAGAAGAAUUUCUUGAGAACUCUUUGCGUGACAAGGAAUUUCAAUUAACCAUGCUUCGAGGUGCUAGUGGCAUGGGGCAACUAGCGAAUUCUUCAUCAGAGAUUAUAGAGAUAGAGCCAGUGGCCAACAAAAGGGUAGUGCCUGGAACUGUUGCAUCUCAAGUUCGCAGUUUGCGAAAAACUAAUAAUGACCAAGUAGCUGUUGCUAUAGAUGUGCAUCCUGAUAGUGGGAAACUAGAUGAUGAAGAUGAUGAUAAGGCUCAUGGUUUCAAGUCAAUGACGACAUCAAGAAUUGUCCCACGGUUUACAAGACCCAUAACCGACAUGAUAGAUGGUCUAUGGGUAUCCUGUGAUCGCACACUAAUGCGGCAGCCUGUUCUACGGCUUAGUAUGAUCAUCUAUUGGGUUGUGUUGCAUGCUCUUCUUGCGACAUUUGUAGUAUGACGGCAGAACAGGUCCGUUGUCUGAUUUUCUCACUGUGAUUACUUGUGGAGUCACGGGCAAGAUAUAGUUCAUGGCUGUCUUCACAAUCUUCUGUAAAUCAUCCAAGUUAGUUUUGACUCGAUUGUGAUUGAUCACUUCAUUAUUUUGCUCGACCAAGCAAUUCGUGAUUUGUUCUGUUUUUUUUGUGAAUCGCGUUCUUGGUUGCAUACUCAUAUAUAGGCAAAAUCCAUAGUACUGUAAUCCAAAUAUGAUACUUCAUAGCAGUAGGGAACUGGGCACAUUGAUGGGAAAUUAGUUUAGUGAAGAUCACAGUCAAAAGAUGUGUACAUUUUUUAAUAGUACCCAUUUGUUAUAGAUUUUCAAUAAGAAAUGUGUAGGUGUUUCUUGUACUACCACA
rnacentral:misc_RNA from 1 species